UGAUGGGGCUGGAAAUGAAGAGCUUAUGAGGAAACAGAAAAUAAAAAUCUAACCAAGGAUAAAUGGAGAUGAAAGGGACUUGAAGUUUUCAGGAAGACCUGUACAAAGUUCAAAUGAGUAAAUGUAGGGAAAUAUGCCAUUUGUGGAGCUGCAAGGUGAUAUAAUACUUCAGCUGUCUGAAAAUGUAUCAGGGCAUUUUCCCCCUGGACUUUGUUUCUUCAGCUAAAAAACAUGACCUUUGACUUUCUGAGCAGCUGUAUAUAUUUUUCGAAGAUCAAUCAGGGGAAAAAAAUCACUGGAAAUGGCAAGUGGAUGGGACAGUGCUGCACAGUGUAAAUGACAGCUGAAGGUUGACAAAAACGCAGCCCCCACUUCAGUUCACUGCUCUGUAGCAAAUGUCUCAGUUACUCAUAGAACUAAGCCACUCUGAAGGACAUUCUGGCAGAAAUACUCCUGCCUGCUUUUUAAAAAGAAUGUGUGGUGGGUGAUGGUGGAAUGGCGGGGAAGGUGGAGUGGAAACUCUAAACAUUUGCUCCUAUCUGUCAGAAAUCAUCAUCUGAGAUAAUUUUAUUAUUAGGGAGGGAAAGCAAACCUCAAGCCGUUGCUUUGACCACAGAGGCCAGAGGUGUUUGUGUUUGUUUCAAGAUAUUGAGUCCGGAGUUGAGAUCUGGUAUUUUGCUGGUGACUGCUGAAGAGGAGGGAUUUGGCUCCUGGCAGAACAUAAAGCCAAGCUGACAACAAAGCUUUCCUUUCAAGCUAUCCAAAUGAACACAUUUCUAAUCUGAAAUUCAAAUACUUGACAACAGAGAGCCUGUGAGCUGGGCUUUGAACAGGAAAUUGCUUCAUGGUUUUAGCAUAAUGAAUUAGGCAGUUAGACUAAAUCCAUUUAGCAGGAAAAGAAUGCUUUCACAUGCUAGUGAAAGAAAGGAGGGGGGCAAAACCUUCUUAAUUUCCCAAAUUUCACAGGACUUACAGACACAAAUGCUCCAUAUAAAUUUUAUCUGUUGUGUUCUAUAAUUGGUAUGUAAAAAACCGUCAGGUCCUGGUAUUCAGAAAUCACCUUUGUUAGAAAAUGCUGCGCCUUUUAAUGUUGGGGAAACUGAAUGUGAUGAAUAAAGGUUAACAGUUCUCAUCUUUCUCCGCGUCCUGUUCUUUCCAUGCCAGUGGUGAAUGCAUUUUAAUUCUGGAACUCUUUUUUAGUGGCUGCCAGUGUUAAGUUCAACAGAUACAAUAUUGCACUCUUUUGGGGAACAGGGAAGAGAUGGGGAAGAAGAGAGGAAUCCUCUCGCCUUCCUGGACACUGGGCUGAGAAUUGCACCUCUGAAUCUCAGUCCUGAACACAGGAGGAGCUGCCCAGUCAUCCGGGCUUGUGACAACAGAGGUGGGGGCGAGGGAGGGGUAAAGUUUGCUUGUGUCAGGUCCAUGUAACAAGAUUGACCUUGAGAGAGCCUGUUGACAGACAUCCCUUGGGAAGGAGAGAGCUAGAGAAAAUGAAAAACUUUUAAAAAGGAAGAAACAAAGAAAAGCAACAGUACUAAUAGCAUAAACAAGACAAAGAUCCUGAGAGAGGAGAGGGUUAAAUCCUGUCCCAGGGACGCUCGCAGAGAGGAGGGUUGAUCUGUAACCAGCCACAGCAGCACUUCCUAGAGGCUUGCUGACUAUCGACACUUUGUUGUGUGGGGCACCGCCUCUGAGCUUGGGCCCAAAGAAGACAGCUAAGGGAACAGUGUUCUGUGUAAUCACUCUGCCACCAGAGAGGACACAUGCAUAAUAAGCUUUGACAUCUUUGCAUUUACAACUUGCUAGAGGGAACAGUGAAGGCCGUCCAGUUGUCAUGGUGAUGAAGACACUAUGACAAAUUACAUUACAAAGGGAUGGUUUUAAAACCACUAAUGUGUACCAAGCACCUAAUUCAUAUUUACAGUUAAAAUAAAAGAACUGCGUCUCAAUUUCAUCAGUGCUAAGGAAAUCACCCUUCUUGGCGCAGACUGGGAGACCCUGACAAGCAAAUAGGUUGGUUAUAGGAUCACCUACUUGAAUGGAUGACUAAUGAAUUAAGCUGGGAACUAUUGACAUUUAAAUGCAUGAGAACAGUUCUGAUCUGGAAUAGUAAUGAUCACUCCAGGAGCGGAAUAUGAAUAUUUAAAGGACUCUCUGCCUUGUGAGUUGGGCUGAGGCACCAGGCAGAACUAGUCAAAAUUCCUUCAGGAUAGUACCUCAACCCAAGGAGUGUGAGAUGGGCAGAGAGGAGAGUCUGAUAGCCAACUAGCUCAAAUUUAUCUAGGGAAAACAGGAUGGAAUUCCAAAUUUAAGCCUGUUGCCAGAUAUAAUAUUCCAGAGUCUGGAGAGAGAAGGGGCUGUUUGCGGGAGGGGCAUACACAGAAGCAGGUCCUGAGAGAUGAGCUUUUUUGCCCACAGAAGCCAAGAAUCCCUUUAAUGGGGGCAAAGUCUUUAAUUGUAUGAGAAAAGAGAAAGCGUGAAACGUAAGUGAGCCUCGGAGAGCUAAAGUAGAAUGAAAUUCAUGUUGGCUUAGAAAGGGCUCAUAUUAGAGCUUUCUUAUGGGGAGGAGAGAAAUCUCUAAGGACGGGUUUCUCAAAUAUAGGCUCUUGCAGAUGCUGAGAAUAUCUUUGCAGACCUGCCCCACAACUCUCCCCCAAGAGAGUUUUACAGGCUCUCUUCAAGGAGCUGGAAGCACUGAAAAGGCAGUGACAGAUGAGAAUAGUUGGGAGCAUCAGAGACACUGAACAUUUGUCCAUCCAAGUCCUUUUAAGAGCAGAGGAAAGGGAAACAUUGUAUCUCCCCUCCCGGCCUCCACUCCAGGAAUUAGAAAGAGUUUAGGCUAAAAAGGUCUGUUACAAGCUCAAUAUUUCCU
rnacentral:lncRNA from 1 species